AGUGGCGGACGGGUGAGUAACGCGUGAGAAUCUGCCUUGGGGUCGGGGACAACCACUGGAAACGGUGGCUAAUACCGGAUAAGCCGAUUGGUGAAAGAUUUAUUGCCCGAAGAGGAGCUCGCGUCUGAUUAGCUAGUUGGUGAGGUAAGAGCUCACCAAGGCAGCGAUCAGUAGCUGGUCUGAGAGGACGAUCAGCCACACUGGGACUGAGACACGGCCCAGACUCCUACGGGAGGCAGCAGUGGGGAAUUUUCCGCAAUGGGCGAAAGCCUGACGGAGCAAGACCGCGUGAGGGAGGAAGGCUCUUGGGUUGUAAACCUCUUUUCUCAGGGAAGAAGCUCUGACGGUACCUGAGGAAUCAGCCUCGGCUAACUCCGUGCCAGCAGCCGCGGUAAUACGGAGGAGGCAAGCGUUAUCCGGAAUUAUUGGGCGUAAAGCGUCCGCAGGUGGCGAUUCAAGUCUGCUGUCAAAGCACGGGGCUUAACUCCGUAAAGGCAGUGGAAACUGAAUAGCUAGAGUGCCGUAGGGGUAGAGGGAAUUCCCGGUGUAGCGGUGAAAUGCGUAGAGAUCGGGAAGAACAUCGGUGGCGAAAGCCCUCCACUGGACGGCAACUGACACUCAGGGACGAAAGCUAGGGGAGCGAAUGGGAUUAGAUACCCC
rnacentral:rRNA from 1 species